AGCUCCAAUAGCGUAUAUUAAAGUUGUUGCGGUUAAAAAGCUCGUAGUUGGAUCUCGGCGAGUAGAGGGCGGUAUGCUUCGUAGCAUUACUGCCCUAUUACUCGUAGUUUUUGACAGAGGUUCCUGGGUGCUCUUAAUCGAGUGUCUAGGGAUGCUGUCAGGUUUACUUUGAAAAAAUUAGAGUGCUCAAAGCAGGCUAUUACGCUUGAAUAUUCGUGCAUGGAAUAAUAGAAUAGGAAGUUGUUUCUAUUUUGUUGGUUUUCGGAAAUUGACUUAAUGAUUAAUAGGGACAGUCGGGGGCAUUUGUAUUCAAACGACAGAGGUGAAAUUCUUGGACCGUUUGAAGACAAACUACUGCGAAAGCAUUUGCCAAGAAUGUUUUCA
rnacentral:rRNA from 1 species